rnacentral:rRNA from 1 species
CUCGUAGGCGGUUCGUCGCGUCCGGUGUGAAAGUCCAUCGCUUAACGGUGGAUCUGCGCCGGGUACGGGCGGGCUUGAGUGCGGUAGGGGAGACUGGAAUUCCCGGUGUAACGGUGGAAUGUGUAGAUAUCGGGAAGAACACCGAUGGCGAAGGCAGGUCUCUGGGCCGUCACUGACGCUGAGGAGCGAAAGCGUGGGGAGCGAACA